AACUAGCCAAUCAUCGUUCUGGUAAAUACCACUUACUUAUCUCAGUUUCCUCCAAUACUCCCUCUACCCUUUCCUCCUUUCCCUCCUCUACUCCUUCAUUUCCUCUCUGCUCCUCUCACUGGCUUAAUGACUUCAUAUCCAUCUUAUGAUCAGCCCCGCGUCAACCUGAGUGUCAUUAGGCUUCAUCAUUUCGUCUUUUUUUCCAUUACCACUUAAAACUGACUUGUUACUGCUCCUCGUUUUUCUUUAAACCCUGCGUAUUUUUCCGUCAGGCAUCAUCUUAACUAUUUUUUUUUUCUCUCUCAGUUUCUCUUUAUAUAUAUGGACUUAGCGCUGAUUAAAGAAUAUUCUUUCUCUACGUAUAAAUUGUACGGUAAUGAGAGAAGCUAAAAUUAAUUUCACGCUAAAAAUAAAUCGUAUCUAACCGUUAUUUAAUUUUGCUCUCCUCAUCUUCCUUCACCUCACUCAUGGGAUUUCUAAAUCACGUCUCUGGCUUUCCACGAAUCCACCAUCAAAUAUGUGUCACUCGGCGUCAAUGAGUCGGCGUAUGAGUGAGAUGAGUGACAGUGAAGGUGUUUGAGUCCCGCUUGUUGUAGCAUUUAAUCGGUUCCGCUAAAUAAGACAGGUGUCAAUUUGUCGUGGUGUGCGGGAGGGAGGGAGUGAGGGACGGAUGGUGGGAGUGCGAGGGGGUGUAGGCAGGACAGGGAAGCAGGAAGGCAUUGUGGGUGUGAUCUUGUGCGCGGGAGGUGUUUUGUCAGGCUCUCCCCUUGUAGUGUUCGCUGUGUGUGUCUCGCGUGUCUAGCCAAGCCUUCGUGGAGCCGCCGUCACCCUCCGCCACGGAAAGAGAGUAAGGGAAACGCCUACCUAGCUCAAGUGGUCCUGUGGGCGCUGCCUCCUCCCGGGCGCCCGCUGGGGAACACUGCUCACCGCCUCUACAUAUAUUCUCUUGCCGCGGGAGGGGUGAGAGAGACAGGUAUGGAGGAAAGGAUGGAUGGACGGACGGAGGAAGGGACGUGGCAGGUUGGCAAUGUUGGUGCUUACAAAAGAAGUUAUGUAAUGAUAUUCAAGUCGUGAACGUGAUGGGAGCCCCGACCACUAGUCUUCCUAAGCCGACUACGAGUGUGUUCAAGUUUGCAGUACAAGAAUACAUCCAGAUUCUCCCUCCCUCCCUCCCACCCUCCAGUGAUUCAAGUGGCGCUCCCAGAGGUAUUGUUUUGCUGAUUGGCUGGGAUUACUGAUGCCCGUGCUGUAAAUAGAACGCUGUGUCCUCCAUUUGUUCAGGAAAGGACAACAGGAUCUAUUUGGAGGACACCAACACCAAGCUCAGGGCCGAGAACACUGGUAAUGCUGGUGAUGAGAAUACUAAUGCGAACACGGAGACAACAACAUCUGCUACCACCACUGCUACCACUACUACUGCUGCUUUUAUUGCUACUACUACUACUACUACUACUAUAGUGACGACACCGAGAUCUAGUUUCCAUUUUAUUGUUUAGUCACAGUGAGUCGGGUGAAGGAAAGGACCACGUGCAUUACAACCCAUGAAUAGUACUGUACCUCUUCCACAAAAGACGGUACAAACUAUCUUCCGUCGUGAGGAGUAAUUAAGAUAAAAAAUAUAAAUAUAAUAACUUAAAAAAACUAAAGCGAUAUGAUAUCAACUUAGAAUUCUUGCUAGUUGUGCACAUAUUUUACUCACUCAGCUUAUAUUUGAGACAGAGAAACUAAAAUUAGGAGGAAAACUUUGUUAUUACAUUCAUUCAUUCGUUUGGUUAUAAACUAAAGGAGAAAAGAAGUGAAAGUAAAAGAAAAAUUGUGCUGCCAUAUUCAUACUCUUAGAUAAAUACAAGGAAAAGAAGAAAGAAACCGCCAAGAUUAGACACAUUUAUCAUAGUGCCGCCAACAUUUAAUUGUUUGCCGAAAGAAAUAGCACUAAUAAGAUCACUUUUCAUUAACUCGUAUAAUCCUCCCGUGUUGACAUAAGAGUGAAAUACCGUAAGAAAAAUUAAGAGACCUUGAAAUAAAGGGUUUCUAAGCGAGAGGGAGGAAAGCAAAUUCUUGUGUUUCUACUUCAGGUAAAGUUGCCAACACUGCCAACAUUCUGAGAAGAAACAAUGGACUUUACAAAAAUUAUCCCCUUGAGCAAACCCGCUAAACAAUAUUGCCAACACUCGGGAGGAGGAAAGAGUGGAGUUAACAAAAACUGAACCCCGAAGUAGAGCGCGCUGAGCAAUAAUGACUGCGUAACUUCAAACUUCAGACUUUAAACAGGGACGAUUUAUAAGCACCAAAAAACAAAUGGCACUGGGGAAUUGUGCCGGAACAUGAAAUAACGAGAGAAAUCCACGUUGGUGCUUUGUUUAGAUAUUUUCUCAGCCACCGUCAGUUUACCUUUACCAGUUGAACCCAAACUCGGUGAAAUCAGUAAGAAAAACAAAAAAAACAAUCUGAGCAGCGGUGGCGGAAUGCAGCAGAAGCAACAUCACCAACAAUACGAAGAACACCACCACCACCACCACCGCCACCACCACCAGCAUGAGCAAGGACACAGCGACAGCAACACGAGGGUAGACUUGGCAGCCAAUAAGACACGACCCUUCUACAGCUCACUGCGUCUCACUCACCAGCGCUACCCCGAGGGACAGAGAGAGAGAGAGAGAGAGAGAGAGAGAGAGAGAGAGAGAGAGAGAGUGUGUGUGUGUGUGUGUGUGUGUGUGUGUGUGUGUGUGUGUGUCGUGUGGAAUGAGGGAGGUGUAGCGUGUGGCAACAACAUCAGAGGUUUCGUUUCGAACUGAAUCUCUCUCUGGUUAUGAAACCCCGUGCUCCUCCCUCCCUCAAGGCACGUCCUGGAGAAGCGAAGUUGUGUGCAAACCCCGCAGACCCUUUCGAUGACGACCUCCCACUGUAUCAUAACUCGCUGAGCCUUGCAUUUCGUGAGCAUCGAGAAGGGAGGAGGUGGUCAGUGGGAGAAGGACGACUCCGCACAGCACUGCAAGGAAACGAGAGAGUGAGGAGAGAAGAAAGACAGAAGGAGAAAGAAAAGGAGGCGAGGCUGGCUGGGGAGGCGAGGUGACAGUGAGAGAGAAGAGGACGCUGUGAGACAAACGAGAGGUGCGCAAAGGGAGGCAUCAAGAGAAUUCAGGUCGUCUUUGAUCUCAGCUUCAGGGAUUUCAGGUUGCCUUAGAUUCGGCACGGUAAAUUUGGUCUGUUUUUGUUCGAGUUAAAGCGAGUUUGGAGAGUUUAUAGGCGAGGCUCUGGUUGGGGAGGGAGGGAGGGAGGGAAGGAAGCGAGUCGUUUUACAAUUUGGGUUAUUUGGUUUCCGAAUGAGGACGACUUGUUUACGUCGCGCGGAGGGAAAAAGGGGACGGUGGCAGAGUGAUGGGAGCGAGGAAGCGGAGGUCGACACACACACACACACACACACACCGUCAGGACUCUGCUUGGUGGAGGGAACAUUCGGGGAUAGCAGUUCGUCCUCAUUAGAUUCAAACUUGCCUUGGGAGUUCAUUGUUCAAAGAAUAAUACAGUGAUGAGGAGGAAGGAAAAGAAAUGAAAGUGUUUCUUUCGCCAUGUCUCCCUGGAA